rnacentral:lncRNA from 1 species
AGAAGUUAUAACUUUAGACAGGAAAAGAGAAAAGAGGAGCCCAUUUGUUUAACCCAGUUUAUUGUUAUAGUAACUGAUGAGAUUGUGAUGGUUUGCAUUUUUUCUCUUAUUAUUAUUAUUAUUAUUAUUAUUAUUUAUUUUUUAUUUUUUGUACUGUGGAGAUGGCCGCAUCAAAGGUGGAAGCAGCAACGACUGCUUCUGCUGACACAAUGUCGAGUAUAUGGGGAUUUCGUCUGACAAUAUAACAGGGUUGGUGCUAUUUUUUCUUCCAGCUUCUUCUUUGACGCCAAUUUAAAAAAAUAAAAUAAAAAAAAUCUCAACUUGGAGGAUUCCCACCGCCUCGCCCCUAGAGAUUUGUGAGGGAGGUAAAUCGUGGAAUGUGCUUCAGCAGAUCAGGAAACAAGAGCUGCAUGUACACUGCGUUUACAAGGAGUCAAAUUCCUUGUCUCAGGAAUCGAACCCCCACCUUACAGCUGCCAGCAAGGCAUGAGAUAACCUCACUCCUGUCUGUACAUUGACGCCAAUUUUGUCGUUAAGAAGAAAGGGUUAAAGAAAGUCGAAUGGUUAUGGGUUUUGUUAUUGAUCAUAGUUCUAAUGAUGUAAUGAAGAGAAUUUUGAUUUGUGUUGUAGAAAAAUUUCUCGAAUUUUAAUUAGUUUAAGAGUCAAAUCAGGAAAAAAUAUCUUUUUAUUUAUUUUCAAUGUUUUUUGGUUGGGACUCCUGAUAUGACUUUAUUCAUACUCUAUGGUCGAAUUUUGGUUGUGAUGUUCUGAUGACAGUGAUUGCGCAUGUAGUACUACUAUUGAUGGUGGUAACGCCUAGUCAAUGGCUUGUGGUGU